rnacentral:rRNA from 1 species
UACGGAGGGGGCUAGCGUUGUUCGGAAUUACUGGGCGUAAAGCGCGCGUAGGCGGCUUUGUAAGUUAGAGGUGAAAGCCCGGAGCUCAACUCCGGAAUUGCCUUUAAGACUGCAUAGCUAGAAUCAUGGAGAGGUGAGUGGAAUUCCGAGUGUAGAGGUGAAAUUCGUAGAUAUUCGGAAGAACACCAGUGGCGAAGGCGACUCACUGGACACGUAUUGACGCUGAGGUGCGAAAGCGUGGGGAGCAAACAGGG